GAGAAAUCACCGUAAAACACCCGGCAGCCAAAUCAAUGAUCGAAAUUGCCCGUACUCAGGACGAGGAAACCGGCGACGGAACCACAUCAGUCAUCAUUUUAGCCGGAGAAGUUAUGGCUCACGCUCAAACAUAUUUGGAGCAAAAAACUCAUCCAACUCUGAUUAUUAAAGCCUAUCGUCAGGCUCUUGAAGAUAUGAUUCAAUGGUCUGAGAAUAAAUUCUCGAAAACUGUCGAUAUAACUGAUGAUGCGGAGAUUGCAAAAGUCGUUAAAUCGUGUUUGGGAACGAAAAUGAUCAGUAAAUGGAUGGAUUUGGCUGUGAAUAUCUCGAUUCAGGCCGUCAAGACUAUUCGUGUUGAGAAGGCCGGUGUCAGAGAGAUUGAUAUCAAGAG
rnacentral:sRNA from 1 species